CAACAUCAACGUCAGGAGAAAGACGGCGAGCGGAGAGCGAGGUGAAGCUACGUCCCUCUACUAUGUGUGCGUGAUGCUAACAGGAGCGCGGCGAAUGCGAAUGGCGCUAUUGGCUGAUUCGAUAACGGAGAGAAGACGCCGUCGCCGAAGCUUGUGGAGCAUCAGCUGUAAGAUGCCUGGGUGAGCUCAUGACGCUAACGUGCUCAGCCAGACACGCCUGUUAGCAGAAGAACCGAGAGAAAUCGCUCACUUCCUGUUGGGAAGCUGUGGAUCCCAACUGGUCAGUGGAAGCGGCCACACUGGCAUCGAACCUGCCACAGCCAGGUGGUCGUGCCAACAACCGUGGACAGAGGAUCAGAGCCGCCCUCAGAUUACCUGAGUGCAAACCUGCCCCGCGCAGACCUUUAGACGUCUUCAGGACACAACUGCCAGCUGGUCAUAGCUUCUCAACCGUACUGUCAGUGCGGAGGAUGCUGGAGAUCAACCGUUCCUCCCGGGCCUCACUUCUUGCCAUGUCCUCCUUCCAUUGUCGAGUCAUGACUUGCAUCUGGUUUACCAGCACAUGGACGUCUCUCACUGGCCUUGUUUGCUGGGUCCUCGUUCCUUUAAGAAACGGCAGCUAUAAAGUCAGUCGUGUCCCUACCGAUUAGGCAUGUGGUAGUAACCAUCUCGAC
ensembl:lncRNA